rnacentral:rRNA from 1 species
CCUACGGGCGGCAGCAGUGGGGAAUAUUGCACAAUGGGGGGAACCCUGAUGCAGCAACGCCGCGUGGGUGAAGAAGUACUUCGGUAUGUAAAGCCCUGUCAGCAGGGAAGAAAAUGACGGUACCUGACCAAGAAGCGCCGGCUAACUACGUGCCAGCAGCCGCGGUAAUACGUAGGGGGCAAGCGUUAUCCGGAUUUACUGGGUGUAAAGGGAGCGUAGACGGCAAGGCAAGUCUGGAGUGAAAGCCCGUGGCUCAACCAGGGGACUGCUUUUGACACUGUGUUGCUGGAGUGCAGGAGGGGUAAGCGGAAUUCCUAGUGUAGCGGUGAAAUGCGUAGAUAUUAGGAGGAACACCGGUGGCGAAGGCGGCUUACUGGACUGUAACUGACGUUGAGGCUCGAAGGCGUGGGGAGCAAACAGGAUUAGAUACCCCAGUAGUC